rnacentral:misc_RNA from 1 species
UAAUGACCAUGUCUGUGAUUCAUU